GAUAAAACAGGUAUAACAUUCUUGGUGAGGUGUUCUGUUUCAACCUUGCUGUUACCUAAACCAAUCUUACUUUUUUCCUUUUUUCAGUAGGAGGGUUCUUGUGAUGUCUGCAGCCAUGUCUGGAGUUUUGUAUAAGGCUCAGUUAACUUCCCUAGUCCCUGUAUUUCAGAUGUCAACAUUGCUCAGGUUUUCUUUUUCAUCUGUUUUUGAACUUCCACAUCCCUGGCUAAAUGUGAAAUAAACUGUCAAUUCAGAACCAAUGCAGCUUUUCAGAAUGGAUGGAUUAAUAAAGGUUAUGAGAAUACAUUUACCAGCAUUUACAGUCAAAGCAAGUGGAUUUCCUCACCUCCCUCCUGCAGCCUCCGUGAAUCAGGAUAAGAGCCAGCUUGAACAGAUGGACCAUGCAACUGGGCUUUAAAGGAGAAAUUUAAAUUGUUGAUGUACUGGGAGGGGAAGUGAAUCUGUACAAGAUACCUUUCUCUUGCUGGUCAAAUGGAUGGAAGCUCCAACAAGGGCAUGUUAUUUGACCCACCUAGCUGUGAGGCAGUUUGGAGAAAAAC
rnacentral:lncRNA from 13 species